ensembl:lncRNA
GGGCGGGGUUAGAGAUCAGUGCUGAUAGAAAAGUUGUGGCGAUGAAAGUUUUCUCUCACUCGUCAUGAACCUCAAAUCUACGCUGCAUUGUCAGGAUUAGCUCACCGUGGCGAAAUGAAUUGUGAUUCUUAUAUCUAGCCUUUUUUUUAACCACGAUAUUCCAUGGUUAAGCUGGCACUAGAAAAUUAAACAACACCUUCUGGCCAACUAGGCAAACUAAGAAUUAGAGGGCUGACAGUCUGUGGAACUGUCAUAAGGUGAGAGAGAACAGAACAGAACAAUGGCCAAUAUCCAAACACAUCAUCAUCAUAAGUCAACUCAUCACCAACAUGAACACUGUCAUCCCACUGUCAUCCCACCUGGAUCCCACCUGACUAAGAGGAUGCUACAGGAACAGAAUGAAGACCUGCAUAACACUUUGAAGCAAACAGUGGUGCGUAUGGAGUGCUUAGGAGCUGAAUUUAUCACUGAACAUCAUCAACUGGAAUCAGAGCUACAGAGGACUCGUGUGGAACUAAGCAGCAUGAUGGACAAGUUCACAAGACUUCAGGUUAAUUAUUCCUCCAUUCAGCAGACUGAUGAUUUCCCGGAGGAUGAAACACACUGUAUGGAUGAACGUAUGGAUGCCGAGCGUGAGAAACUAAACCAGCGGAUCUCAGAACUGACAAAACAGCUGUCAGCUGCCAAGACAACCAUUCAGAGCCUGGAGACAAUUAAUACAGAAUUAGCUGCCUAGCUACGAUUAGUUCUUUGUGAAACCCAACUUCUUUCUAAGGUGACGUCAAUGCUCCAGGAAGCCCUUGUAAAGCAUUUUAAAUCAGAUGAUCCCAUCAAGCCAUUCAAGCCAGCAGUUGCACCUCCUCCAUUUCAAUUUAUGGACAGUGAUCAUUAUAACAAAGGUUCAGUAGCUGGAGAUGACCAAUCGUUGGGUCCUGUUCCAGAAGAGGAUGAAUCUGAUUGGUCAGAAAUGGGUGAGGAGGCAAAGCACUAUCCCUUGAGUAGUUUGGAGAGAGGUCAACAUCGUUGUACAGGCUUUUCACCAUGGCAUCAGGAGCAUGGUUGUUGGGUAAAGUCGGAUAAAUACAGAAGAGGAGACGGAGAUACAGAGAGUGAAUCAGGAGGGGAAGAGAUGGCCCACAGCCAGGGCCUACAGAUACCCCACCUUCAGUUCAGUAUAUACCCUGAGACUGUACCAGUACCUGUAACUAGCUUGAAGCAGAAUCUGGAUGGCCCUGUAGGAGAGGAAUACCAUAUUCACACUGGACGCCAGCUAAGCUCUCCUAUUCGCAUCCUGUCUGCUAGCUUGGAGGGCAUCAACUCCACUGACCUCCAGCAACUUGAGCAUCAAAGUCAGUUAAAGUGCAACAAAGGUAAGAUGGACCUCCACCAUUCACAAUGGGGCACUGCUGAAGAUUGGACUGAAGAUGAGCUUACUCAUAACUGGAAGAAGGCAAAAAAGCAAAAGACUGGAGAUGGAGAGAAAGGGUCACGAAGCAGUGACUCGGAGGCUAUGGCUAAUCUGGAGUCAGCGCAGAAGAUGCUCAACCACUUUAUACAGGAGGGAGAGAAUACAAAAAUAUGAAACCUAAACCUAAUGUAUUAGCCUAAUAAUUAAUGUCUUUAAACACUGAGCAAAUGUGAAUUAGAAUAGGAGCGGUCUGUAAGUGAAUAGUACUGUACAAGGUGUUCCAAAAGUCUCCAUAAAUACCACACAGCGCUCGCUGUAAACUACAGUAUGUUUGCCAGCACCACGUCAGGUGUGCCCUCGUCAGUGGAUGUUCGUGGACGUCCACUUCUCGGUCGGUCCGCAACACUUCCAGUCUUUUUGAAUUUGUUAAUAAGUUUGGAAACAGUGUCGUGUGUUUCCUGUUAAAGUCCAUCGCAAACUUGCAACAGCUUCCCAAUCCAGCAAUGAGAAUGAUUCAAUACGUUCUUCUUUUAUCAAAACCAUAACUAAUUAAUUUCCUAGAAUCUCAGUUUGAUCCCCCUGUGUACUGUGGGACUUUGGAGCUCUUAGGGCAGGAGUAUUCUACUAAAAUUGGCAAGUCCAGUUCCAUAAAAUCCCUUGCUGGAUCUGGUCUGAAUCAGCAACUAAUGGUUACUUCUUAACCUUUAUUGAUUUAUUCAUACUAUUAAUAUGACACAACAUGUUUUGACUAGUGCCACCGAGAAAUCUGUUUUGAGUUUGGCGCAAGGAGAAUAAACACAUGCUUCCCUGUCCAAUUGUCUUUAAACCUUUUGGUUUUGUUCUCAAUUAAAAAAAAAAAAAACACAAGCAAUGUCAUCAGUUCAUUAGAACAGAUAGGGUAUCUAAAAUGAACCCUGUAGCUAGUCCAUAGUCUGAUAAGCUGCCUCCAGCUAAAUAAUUUACUCAAAUGCAUGUGAUUGGAUAAGCCACAAGAGACAGAUGUGCUACAGAAUCCAAGCGGGAUUAUGUAUAUAAUAGUGAAGUAUCUGCUCUGAUAUUUUUUCAUGUACUCAGUUUUGUUCCUCUGUUUUACUUUUCUUGGUCGGCAUACCAGGUGAUGACUCCUGCCCUCUUAAAACCAACCCCACCCAUUACGGUUACCUCUAUAAUCUGAUCUAAGCAUACCCUCUAAUGAUCAAACAUUUUAAUAUUCAAGAAUGAUAUAAGUAAUUACUGUGUUUAGGUUAUUGACUAAUUAGGUAGCUGUAAGCACUCUGUCUGCUCCUCAGAACUUGUGCCACACAAGUUUCAGGUUGGACUUCGGAGUCUGGGUUGUGAGUUAGACUUCUCUAUUCACAUUCAAGGAUAUGUCCACGGGUGACUGGUAGCCCUGCUGAAAUAGAUGCUUUGAUAACUUCUCAAGGCAACAUCAGACAGAAGUGUGGCUCUUUGAUUUCACUUGGGUACUAGACAGGGUUGCCCUUAGAAACCCUCUUUACCAGCACAAAUACAUGUAGACUGAGUGGAAAUCCCCCCCCCCAAAAAAAAAAAAUUUUUGCCAUGAAUCUCACACUUUCUUUUUUUUUUUUUU